AUAGAGACUCAGAGCUGCAUAUCAAUAAGCGGAGGAAAAGAAACUAACAAGGAUUCCCUUAGUAACGGCGAGUGAAGCGGGAAGAGCUCAAAUUUGAAAUCUUCAAGGUUUUACCUUGACGAAUUGUAGUUUAAAGAAGUGUUUUCUGUUGAAGUUUUGGUAAAAGUUCUUUGGAAUAGGACAUCAUAGAGGGUGAGAAUCCCGUAUUUGACCAUUAUUUUCAGCUGUGUGAUACACUUUCAAAGAGUCGGAUUGUUUGGGAAUGCAGUCCAAAAUGGGUGGUAAAUUUCAUCUAAAGCUAAAUAUUGGCGAGAGACCGAUAGCGAACAAGUACCGUGAGGGAAAGAUGAAAAGAACUUUGAAAAGAGAGUUAAACAGUACGUGAAAUUGUCAAAGGGAAGCGUUUGACACCAGUGUUGUUUUUCCGAAAAUCAAUUAAGAAUGUCUUAUUUUUGAGAAGUUAUGACUUCAUCGGCUUGCUCCUUUCUUUAUGGAACUUUCUUAAUGCACUUUUCGGUUAACAAGUCAACAUCAAUUUCUUUUGUUGUAAAAGGGUAUGAGGAAGGUGGCUUUCUUUUCGGAGAAAGUGUUUAUAGCCUUGUGACUUCUGCAAUCGGAGAGAUUGAGGUCUGCAGCGUAGAUCCUUCGGGGUUAGAUACAGUUUGUGCUAAGUUAUAGCCUUUCAUAGACAACUUGUUGACUAUGAUUCAGUCAUGUAGCUUACUCGCUUAUGUCAUUUUACCUACGCUUAGGAUGUUGAAGAUAUGCGCGACACG
rnacentral:rRNA from 1 species